UGCCCUCCUGAUUAAAUGGAAGACAACUGAAUGAACAUUUAUCUAAUACACUGAUCCCACAUUCAUUGUUCUACCUCCCUAGUUACUGUUGCUACAAGCUAAAAUGUGUUUUUGAUAUACAGCAUGGAACAGACAACUCAAUGAGCAUUUAUCUAAUACACUCAUCCCACAUUCAUUGUUCUACCUCCCUAGUUACUGUUGCUACAUCGGACAAGCUAAACUGUGUUUUUGAUAUACAGCAUGGAACAGACACCGAGUCCUGAAAAUUGUAAAUGUCUGUCUUAGAAUCAAUGCAUUCUAAAGAGAUAACAACCUAAAAGAAUAACGAAUCAUUACAAAUUGCUUUGGCCCCCAAACCAGGGUUCAAUGGGAAUUGCUACAAGGAGAAGGAGACUAUACAAAUGAGAAGGUUCUCUGUUUUCCUCCCUUCACAAAAACCAACUCCUAAAUUCCAAUUUGAUCAUGGAACAUAGGGCUACAGGAGCAUCUUUUUGUGGACUUUUGUCCUUGGCAACAUUCCCAACUUCUUUUGAAGAAGACUCACACUCUGUACCUUUACUCACUGGUGAAGUAGUGGACAAAUCUUUUGGUUCAACCCAAUGGAGAUUUUCAAUC
rnacentral:lncRNA from 1 species